UCAGGCUGUGUGGGAUCCGG
rnacentral:miRNA from 1 species